CACAACAAAAAUUUUCGCCUGAGAACUACUAGCCACAGCUUAAAACUCAAAGGACUUGGCGGUGCUUUAUACCCACCUAGAGGAGCCUGUUCUAUAAUCGAUAAACCCCGAUACACCUCACCACUUCUUGCUAAUACAGCCUAUAUACCGCCAUCUUCAGCAAA
rnacentral:rRNA from 1 species